GACGAAUGCUGGCGGCGUGCCUAAUACAUGCGAGUAGAACGCACAGUUUAUACCGUAGCUUGCUACACCAUAGACUGUGAGUUGCGAACGGGUGAGUAACGCGUAGGUAACCUGCCUGGUAGCGGGGGAUAACUAUUGGAAACGAUAGCUAAUACCGCAUAAUAUUAAUUAUUGCAUGAUAAUUAAUUGAAAGGUGCAAUUGCACCACUACCAGAUGGACCUGCGUUGUAUUAGCUAGUAGGUGAGGUAACGGCUCACCUAGGCGACGAUACAUAGCCGACCUGAGAGGGUGAUCGGCCACACUGGGACUGAGACACGGCCCAGACUCCUACGGGAGGCAGCAGUAGGGAAUCUUCGGCAAUGGACGAAAGUCUGACCGAGCAACGCCGCGUGAGUGAAGAAGGUUUUCGGAUCGUAAAGCUCUGUUGUAAGAGAAGAACGGGUGUGAGAGUGGAAAGUUCACACUGUGACGGUAUCUUACCAGAAAGGGACGGCUAACUACGUG
rnacentral:rRNA from 1 species